AAUUGGGGUUCUUUGAUAUGCCGAAUCUAACUGUCAUGACUGUGUAUGUAGAUUCUUAACCUUUGGUCCGGUUUUCAAAUUGGUCUACAUUAAGGUCCAAAGGGUCCAAAAUUAAACUUAGUUUGAUUUUGACAAAAAAUGAAUCAGUUAGGUUCUUUGAUAUGCUGAAUCUAAAAAUGUACUUAGAUUCUUGAUUAUUGGCCCAGUUUUCAAGUUGGUCCAAAUCGGGGUCCAAAAUUAAACUUUGUUUGAUUUCAUCAAAAAUUGAAUAAAUGGGGUUCUUUGAUAUACCAAAUCUAACUGUGUAUGUAGAUUCUUCAUUUUUGGUCCUGUUUUCAAAUUGGUCUACACUAAAGUCCAAAGGGUCCAAAAUUAAACUUAGUCUGAUUUUAAACAAAAAUUGAAAUCUUGGGGUUCUUUGAAAUGCUGAAUCCAAAAAUGUACUUAGAUUUUUUAUUAUGGGCCAGUUUUCAAGUUGGUCCAAAUCAG
rnacentral:lncRNA from 1 species